GGGCUUACACAAGCGGUGGAGCAUGUGGUUUAAUUCGAUACAACGCGCAAAACCUUACCAAUUUUUGACAUAGGAAAAGUAUUUUUGUUAUUAAAAAUCUCUUUUUUCUACAGGUGCUGCAUGGCUGUCGUCAGUUCGUGGCGUGAGCUGUUGGGUUAAGUCCUAGAACGAACGCAACCCACGUCUUUAGUUGCCAGCAUUUAGUUGGGCACUCUAGAGAGACUGCCGGUGAUAAACCGGAGGAAGGUGUGGAUGACGUCAAGUCAUCAUGCCCCUUACAUCCUGGGCUACACACGUACUACAAUGCUACGGACAAAGGGCAGCAAGUUCGCGAGGACAAGCAAAUCCCAUAAACCGUGGCUCAGUUCAGAUCGUAGGCUGCAACUCGCCUACGUGAAGGCGGAAUCGCUAGUAAUCGCAGGUC
rnacentral:rRNA from 1 species